rnacentral:rRNA from 1 species
UGGGGAAUAUUGGACAAUGGGCGAAAGCCUGAUCCAGCCAUGCCGCGUGAGUGAAGAAGGCCUUAGGGUUGUAAAGCUCUUUCGGCGGGGACGAUAAUGACGGUACCCGCAGAAGAAGCCCCGGCUAACUCCGUGCCAGCAGCCGCGGUAAUACGGAGGGGGCUAGCGUUGUUCGGAUUUAUUGGGCGUAAAGCGCGCGUAGGCGGGCUGUUAAGUCGGGGGUGAAAUCCUGGGGCUCAACCUCAGAAUUGCCUUCGAUACUGGUAGCCUCGAGUACGGGAGAGGUGAGUGGAAUUCCCAGUGUAGAGGUGAAAUUCGUAGAUAUUUGGAGGAACACCGGUGGCGAAAGCGGCCUCCUGGACCGAUACUGACGCUGAGACGCGAAAGCGUGGGGAGCAAACAGGAUUAGAUACCCUGGUAGUCCACGCGGUAAACGAUGGGCACUAGUUGUCGGAUCUUAUUAGAUUUGGUAACGUAGCUAACGCGUGAAGUUGACCGCCUGGGGAGUACGGUCGCAAGAUUA